rnacentral:rRNA from 1 species
AUUGAACGCUGGCGGCAGGCUUAACACAUGCAAGUCGAGCGAGCGGCGGACGGGUGAGUAAUGUCUGGGAAACUGCCCGAUGGCGGGGGAUAACUACUGGAAACAGUAGCUAAUACCGCAUACCAUCAGAUGUGCCCAGAUGGGAUUAGCUAGUAGGUGGGGUAACGGCGCACCUAGGCGACGAUCCCUAGCUGGUCUGAGAGGAUGACCAGCCACACUGGGACUGAGACACGGUCCAGACUCCUACGGGAGGCAGCAGUGGGGAAUAUUGCACAAUGGGCGAAAGCCUGAUGCAGCCAUGCCGCGUGUAUGAAGAAGGCCUUCGGGUUGUAAAGCACUUUCAGCGAGGAGGCGUUAUUCGCAGAAGAAGCACCGGCUAACUCCGUGCCAGCAGCCGCGGUAAUUC